ACCAAAUUAAGCAUAAUGAAUAACUUAGAGAGAGAAAGCUCAAGAGAGAGAAGUGAUAGCUAAGAAGGAAAGCAGGAAAUUGAGAAUGAAAUCAUGAGGAAUUAAUAAAAGUUUCAAGCCUAAUUAAGAAUAUUUAUUAUCCGGAAGGCGAGCUCAAUUAUCCAAAUUGAGACAGGAAUAUUUUUAUUUACCAAAGGAAGCCAGUAAAGACAGAAUAAUGCACGAUUGAGAAGAAUAAUCCGGAAGCGCACAAUAGCACGAACAAGGACAAGGCGUGAGGCUGUGGCAAGACGAAGGGUGGGAAGACUUGUUCCCGUGACGAGGAUAAGUUUAAUAUCGACCUUGGACUUGUGGGGCAAGGUAUGCAAUGUAAAACAGGUAUGUUGAAGGGGUGUGACGGUCUAGAUCUGAGGGAUACGGAUCUGGGGGCGUUACAGAUUUGGUAUCAGAGCUGUGUUAUAUUCUUAGGACACAGGAAACCUAGGAAUAUAACGAGAGAGUGAGACAAUAAUACAAGAGAUAAGAUAUACGUAUAUGAUAGUUAUACAUCUACGAGAGCAGGCUAGGGUAUACAUGAAACCCAGAAAUCUUUAGUGGGACAUCAAACCCCAUAGUUAUGAUUACACAUAUGUGUAUACAAGUAUCUUUAAGAUAAGAAACUUAAGGUGGCAUUGCUUAAUUAUCCGUAAAGAUGUUAAUAUCCAGUUUUCUUCGAGGACACCCUUUUACACCCUAUCCUUAUGAAUAAUAUUGGUAGUGUCGCAUCAGAAGAAAUUAUGAUUACUGAUGGUAAUUCAGGGAACACGAAUCAUUGAGCCUUCACCAUUUGAGAUUAUUGGUUACCUAACCUAUUAGUUACCUAGUAUUUAUUGCUAUGCCAGAUGGAUAGGCAUCAAUUCUACCUCAUAAAUUUUUGUCAGAAAUAACCUCUACAAUAUCAUUGACUACCCAGAUAUUUACCUCCAUAUCUUGUUCUUUUAUUACCUAUAUCAUAGGGUAGAUAUGAUCAAGUGAUUGUUGGAUAUACUUAGACACUAUCAGCUGACUUUUCCAAAGGCUACAUCAUUCUCUUUUGAUUCCACUAAGAUGUUGACUCCUGAUCGGUACCAAUUCGAGUUCCAUACCUUUAUCAACUCCACCUCUAUUGUCGAGAUUCUUUUCUCAUAUUUUGCAAUUUUCCGCCCAUACAUAUAUAUUCAUAUACCAAGCCAUGAGCUCGAAUGUUACAACCAGAGAUUUCUACCCCCAAAGACUUCUGCUCCCAUCUCAUGUUAUAUUAAGAUAACGAUCUUUCUAUUACAAGGUUCCUUGUUUUCUACUUUGAAACUGUUUUAUCAAUUUCUGUUCCAAUUUCCACAUCAAUCUCAACACCAAAUUUUUAUUCUAACACCAAUCAGUUCAAGUUCUUUUUAUGCUCCAUAUGUUGGGAGCGAGACAGUACCAUUCUCGGCACACUUCACAUUGUAUGAUAGUAUGAGAUGUUAUCGAACUAUUACUUUGAGUUUUAGUUUUUAAUGACGUAUUGUUGGGGAUACGAGAAUUAUAUAUUUGUUCAGGAGAGCUCGGAUUCCUGGCUCGGGUAAUUAUGAUAAAGGAAUCUAUCAAAUAGUUAUUUAUGUAUUCGAGAGACUUCGGAUAGAUAUUCAACAGACUUUGUCGACGAGCUUCGGACACAUUGGAGCCAUUGUUGUUUAUUGAAAAUUACAAGAAUUUUGGUAUAAAGUUACAAAGAUAUUCAAACAUCGACGGUUCGGAUUUCUUUGGUAUAAUUUGAUCUUUUGUAAGAUAAAAUGUAUAAUUUAUGAGCAUCUCAAGUUCUAUUUAUGUUGUAUAUGAUUCAUGACUAUUGACAUUGUACGGUAACGAGCAUGAGAGCCUUGCAUUUCCUUAUUAUUACAAUGCAGAUUCGUACAUAAGAUCUUUCGAGCAAAUAGGGAUGUAGCUAGACAUCUUAUUACCCAUGAUUAAAUUAAUACCUUAGUGCUUAUUAGGACAGUUGUGUCUUCGGAUAAUGACAAAAUGGUCCUCGAACUUUGUGUGCAUAUGAUGAAGACCAGCGGAAAUGGACAGUUUUAUUUUUGAGAUGACUUAUGCAUGAUCUUUUGUACUUAAAAAUUGUUCAAUCCUUGAGCGCGAUAUCUUGUAUCACCUUUUUAUUAAAAAGCUUUCACAUACCUACCUCUUUUCAAAACCGCUUUUAUUUCUAAAACCACAUAUCUUUUGCUAAUAAAUGUGAAACUUUGGGCAUGUUGAUAUACUUCCUUGAACAAUUAUUAAACCUUAACUGUUUUUACCAUCUACCCUUUGUUUCAUAGACAAAACCCUUGUUAAACAUCUAUUAAACAAUUUUACACCAUUAUAAACAGUUGCUAUAUUUUGCAUUCUUGCAUUUCAAAUAAACCUCUACACCAUGUGAUAGUAACCUAUUUUGUUCCUCUCUUAUAGAAACAAUAUGGACUCUGAAAUUGGUCAACACCAAAAAAAAAAAAAAAAAAAAAAAAAAAACCACCAGAGAAUAUUCCAGCCAAUCCUGAUCUGAUUAAAACGCUCCUUGAUCUCUUACAACAACAUGCUCCAAACCUAUCAACCCAUACUAACGAAGCAUCAAUCGACCAACCACCUAAAUCAUUUGUUAUAUUUUAAAAAAAAAAAAAACUUUUAAGUUUAUACACCCCAUGAGUUGAAAGAAACCAUGGAUCCUAUUGAGGCUAGGACCUGGUUGAAAGAAAUUUAAAAAGGGAUUUUGAGAUUGUGGGAGUUGAGGAUGAUAAGGAAAACUCUAUUUGGCAAUAUAUGUGUUAAACAUGUAAGCUAACUAUUGGACGCUAAAAUGGGUCUAGAAGGGACUAGUUUUAUGACGUGGGAAUGCUUUACGAAAUUGUUCCUAUAGAAACAUUUUCCUAAAUACUAUGAGAAUCAUGUAACUUAGAUUCUGAUUAUGAAGCUAAAUUUACAUAACUUGCGAGGUUCGUACAACACUAUGUUGAUACUAAUGAAAAGAGAGCCCGACGUUUUCAACAAGUAUUGAAACCCUGGAUCCUGAGCAGCGUAGCUAUUUUGAACUUAACAAUUAUACGACUCUCGUUCAGAAGACUGCUAUCGUAGAAAGCGAGAGUGAGCUAUGCAACCGUGAAAAGAAUGGCAAGAAAUGGAGGGCACCAUAACCUGAUCAUAUCCUAGGAAAGAAGAUAUGUGACUAGAAUAUUUAGAAACUUUUUAUUAAAAGGCUAUUCAACAAGUAUGGAACACUUCAAAUCAGAAAUCGAGUAAGCCGCGGAGGGAAUCAAAGGUUCAGGCCUCCACAAAUUUCAAAUCUACUUCAAGGAGGAACACUAUUACCAGAAUGCAAAACAUAUGGGAAGAGGCAUUCAUUUCCAUGCUAUCAGGAAUCUACAUUUGUUUUAUCCGCGAUCAGAAAAGACAUUAUGAUUCAAAAUGCAAAUAGAAAGCUGUUACUCGAUUCAACUCUCAAAAGAUGGGCCACGUGGCCAGGGAUUGUCGAGCGCGACGUAAAGAAAACGCUAUUCUGAGAUUAUCAAUACCUAUAGAAAGAAGCAAGCCAAUAUCGUGCACCUUUAAUGUGACAAUGAAAGACGCUAUAGUCGAUGACGACAUUAUUUCAUGUACGCUUAUAAUAAAUCCUUAAGAUGCUUGUGUGUUGAUUGCUUCCGGCGCUAUCAAAUAUUGUAUUUUGUAAAUUUUAUGCAAAAAGUUGGGAAUUGUUCCGAUACCUCUAGAAGAAUCUACGAAUGUGGAAAUAGCGAAUCAGGAUGUGAAUUAUGUGGAUCAAGUGUAUCCUAGUUGUCAAGUAACGAUUCAAAAUAAAUUUUCAAAGUAGAUUUAAUUCAUUUUAAUUUAGGGGAGUUUGACGUGAUAUUUAGAAUGGAAUGGUUAACGAGUUAUGACGCUCAAAUUUAUUGUAGACGAAAAUGUAUACGUGAUAAUAGUGGAAAGAGAGUGAUUGUAAAAAGUGAAAAGCAAGAUAAGAAAAUUUUGAUCAUGAUAUAAUCCGAUGUCAGGCCUAUUUGGCGCACGUGAUAGAUACAAAGAUAUAAAGUACUAAAAUGGAAGAAACCUCAAUGGUAAAUGAGUAUAUGAAUGUGUUUUUUAAGAGUUACCGAGAUUACCCCAAAUAGGGAGAUUGAGUCCACUAGAGUCCUUGUGCCAAGUACUGAACCUAUAUCAAGAGCUCCCUAUAGAAUGGUACCAACAUAAAUGAAAGAGUCAGCAACAAGAAUUAUUAGAAAAGGAGUUAUUAGGCCAAGUGUAUCCUCGUGAGGAUUUGCGGUGUGGUUGUUAAGAUUAAAGAUGGAAGUAUAAGGUUGUGUAUUGAAUUUAGGAAAUUGAUUAAGGGUGACAAUUAAGAAUAAGUAUAAUUUUCCAAGGAUUGAUGAUUUGUUUGACCAAUUGCAAGGAGCAACUCACUUCUCUAAGAUUGAUAUAAGAUCUGGAUACCAUCGACUUAAAUAAUUAAGCCUGAAGAUGUGCCUAGGACAACUUUAGAACCAGAUAUGAACAUUAUGAGUUCUUAGUAAUGCCUUUUGGAUUAACCACUGCACAUGUAGCCUUUAUGGAUCUUAUGAAUAGUGUAUUCAAGAAAUAUUUGGAUAAAUUUGUGAUUAUUUUUCUUGAUGACAUUCUGAUUUACACUAAAACACGAAAAGAGGAUGCAGAGCAUCUAAGAAGCACAUUGAAAAAAAUUGAGGAAGGAAAACUUGUAUGUGAAAGUUUUAAAAUGCGAGUUUUGGUUGGGGCAUUACAAUUUCAUAGACAUGUAGUUUCAAAGGAUGGUAUAUCGGUAGACCCUGCAAAGAUUGCAACUCAUUAACACGAUUGGCCAGAAAGGGACAAAAGUUUGAAUGGACGCCAAAGUGCGAGGAAAUCUUUCGAAGAAUUAAGAAAAGACUUACAACGACUAAUGUAUUGGCGUUACCUGAUGAAAGUGGCAACUUCUUGAUUUAUAGUGAUGCGUCUCACAAAGGCUUACGAUAUGUAUUGAUGCAGCACGAGAAAGUAAUUGCUUACGCCUUUAGACAACUAAAAGACUAUGAGCUCGGGUAUCCUACCCAUGAUUUAGAGUUAGCGGUGAUUGUAUUCGCAUUAAAGACUUGGCAAUAUUGUCUAUAUGGUGAGAAAUGUGAGAUAUAAUUGACCGUAAGAGUUUGAAGUAUUUGUUCACAAAAAAAAAAUAUAUAUAUAUAUAUAUAUUGAAUAUGAGGCAGAGAAGAUGGUUAGAAUUGAUCAAAUGUUACGAUGUACCAUUAGUUAUUGACCUGGCAAAAGGAAAUGUAGUGACGGAUGCGCUAAGUCGAAAAGAAAGAUCAAAUAUGCUAACCCUACCUUUAGAAUUAAGAAAGGAAAUAGAAAGUCUAAAGUUGGAAAUAAAAAUUUGAGUUUAGAAGGAGAAAGACUUUACGAGAUGUUGUUACAACCUGGAAAACUAGGGGAAAAAAAAAAUUAAGAGAUGUCAAGAGAAAGUGAUGGAGAAGCAAAUGAAGGAAUUGACAUAAGAAAAGAUACUAUGUCUAGAGGAUGAGAAAGGAAUUCAGAGAUUUGCUAAUAGAAUUUGGAUUACUAGAGUAUUGGAGUUGAAAGGGGAGAUUCUGAGUGAAGCACAUGAUUCAAAAUAUUAUGUACCCCGAGAAGUAUGAAAAUGUAUCAAGAUCUUAAGAAACACAAUUAGUGACCAAACAUGAAUAGGGAGAUUGCAGAUUGAGUAAGAGUUUGACUUGUCAAAGGAUGAAAGAAGAGCACUAAAGAUCAAGCGGAUUAAUACAAUCUUUAGAGAUUUCGGACUAAAAAUACGAAUGUAAUAUAAUGAAUUAUAUUGUGGAGUUACUGUGAAUCCGAUCAAUUAUGAUGCCAUUUGGGUUAUUAUAGACAGACUCCCAAAAUUAGUUCAUUUCUACCAAUUAGUAAAAAGUACACCAUCGAAUGACUGGUAAGUGUGUAUCUAAAAAAAUGGCGACUCGACAUGGAGUCCCAGUAGCAAUAAUGAGAUGUAGAUGCAAGAUUCACUUCGAGGUUCUACCGAACUUUUCAAGAAUUGUAUAUGGAUUAAGUUGGACCUAAGUACUGCUUAUUAUCCACAAAUUGAUGACAUAGAGAAGGAACGAUUCAAACAGUUGAGGAGAUGUUAAAAGUUUGUUCGUUAGAUUUCAAAGGGAAGUUGGGAUUAUCAUUUGCUCUUAAGUGGAAUUCGCUAGUAAAAACAGUUAUCAUUCUAGGAGUGGGAUACCUUCUGAAACCAUAUAUGGUAGAAAAUGUAGAUCGCCACUUUGUUGGGAUGAAGUUGAAAAUAAGAAUAUUCUGGAACCAGUACAGACCAUAGAUUAAAAGUUUCAGGAGCUAAGGAAUAAGAAAGUAAAGUUAGUUAAAGUGAUAUGGCAAAAUCAAGCUGUAGAUGAAGCAACAUGAGAAUUAGAAUACGAAAUGAGGAGGAACCAUCCUAAAUUGUUAAGCGCUAGUCAUGAUUCCGAGGUCGGAAUCCUUUAAGGAGGAGAGACUGUAACGACCUCAAAUUUCAAGUACGUAAUUACGCAAUUAUUUAUUUAAUUAUUCAAUUUUGCUCAAGUCAAUGAUUUAAGAUAUUAAAUAUUUGUUUCAGAUUAUUUUAAGAGCGAAAAAUAAUAGUCAAGAUGGUAUGAUAAUUUUUUAAGGGCGCGAAUUUAUUCUGACGACUAGAUAUUAGUUAAUAAGCGUCCGAUAAAUAUAGAUCGAUAGUUAGUAGCGACGCGGGAUUAACGCGAAAAGUUGUAUAUAAUAUA